AAAUGAAUUGACGGGGACCCGCACAAGCAGCGGAGCGUGUGGUUUAAUUCGAGGCUACGCGAAGAACCUUACCAGGGUUUGACAUACUGGUGGUAGGAAUGUGAAAACAGACUGACCCUUCGGGGAGCCAGUACAGGUGCUGCAUGGCUGUCGUCAGCUCGUGCCGUGAGGUGUUAGGUUAAGUCCUGUAACGAGCGCAACCCUCAUCGUUAGUUAUAUGUGUCUAACGAGACCGCCGGUGAUAAGCCGGAGGAAGGUGGGGAUGACGUCAAGUCAGCAUGGCCUUUAUAUCCUGGGCUACACACACGCUACAAUGGCCGGUACAAUGGGUCGCGAAGCCGCGAGGCGGAGCCAAUCCUCCAAAGCCGGUCUCAGUUCGGAUUGUAGGCUGCAACUCGCCUGCAUGAAGUCGGAGUUGCUAGUAACCGCGCGUCAGCAACAGUGCGGUGAAUACGUUCCCGGGUCUUGUACACACCGCCCGU
rnacentral:rRNA from 1 species